rnacentral:rRNA from 1 species
UCAAAUUUGAAAUCUCAUCGACCGAUCCUGAUGUCUUCGGAUGGAUUUGAGUAAGAGCGUAGCUGUUGGGACCCGAAAGAUGGUGAACUAUGCCUGAAUAGGGUGAAGCCAGAGGAAACUCUGGUGGAGGCUCGCAGCGGUUCUGACGUGC